rnacentral:rRNA from 1 species
GGGGAAUAUUGCACAAUGGGCGCAAGCCUGACCCAGCAACGCCGCGUGAGGGAUGAAGUAUUUCGGUAUGUAAACCUCGAAAGAAUGGGAAGAAUAAAUGACGGUACCAUUUAUAAGCUCCGGCUAACUACGUGCCAGCAGCCGCGGUAAUACGUAGGGAGCAAGCGUUGUUCGGAUUUACUGGGCGUAAAGGGCGCGUAGGCGGCGCGGUAAGUCACUUGUGAAAUCUCUGAGCUUAACUCAGAACGGCCAAGUGAUACUGCUGUGCUAGAGUGCGGAAGAGGCAACCGGAAUUCUUGGUGUAGCGGUGAAAUGCGUAGAUAUCAAGAGGAACACCUGAGGCGAAGGCGGGUUGCUGGGCCGACACUGACGCUGAUGCGCGAAAGCCAGGGGAGCAAACG